rnacentral:rRNA from 1 species
AGUAAUGUAUGGGGAUCUGCCUGAUGGGGGGGGAUAACUACUGGAAACGGUAGCUAAUACCGCAUAAUGUCUGCGGACCAAAGCGGGAGACCUCCGGGCCUCGCGCCAUCAGAUGAACCCAUAUGGGAUUAGCUUGUAGGUAAGGUAACGGCUUACCUAGGCGACGAUCCCUAGCUGGUCUGAGAGGAUGAUCAGCCACACUGGGACUGAGACACGGCCCAG